ACAUAUCAAUAAGCGGAGGAAAAGAAACCAACCGGGAUUGCCCUAGUAACGGCGAGUGAAGCGGCAAGAGCUCAAAUUUGAAAGCUGGCUCCUUCGGGGUCCGCAUUGUAAUUUGCAGAGGAUGCUUCGGGAGCGGUCCCCAUCUAAGUGCCCUGGAACGGGCCGUCAUAGAGGGUGAGAAUCCCGUCUGGGAUGGGGUGCCCGCGCCCGUGUGAAGCUCCUUCGACGAGUCGAGUUGUUUGGGAAUGCAGCUCUAAUUGGGUGGUAAAUUUCAUCUAAAGCUAAAUAUUGGCCGGAGACCGAUAGCGCACAAGUAGAGUGAUCGAAAGAUGAAAAGCACUUUGAAAAGAGAGUUAAACAGCACGUGAAAUUGUUGAAAGGGAAGCGCUUGCGAUCAGACUCGCCCGCGGGGUUCAGCCGGCAUUCGUGCCGGUGUACUUCCCCGUGGGCGGGCCAGCGUCGGUUUGGGCGGCCGGUCAAAGGCCCCUGGAAUGUAACGCCUCUCGGGGCGUCUUAUAGCCAGGGGUGCCAUGCGGCCUGCCCGGACCGAGGAACGCGCUUCGGCUCGGACGCUGGCAUAAUGGUCGUAAGCGACCCGUCUUGAAACACGGACCAAGGAGUCUAACAUCUACGCGAGUGUUCGGGUGUCAAACCCGUGCGCGCAGUGAAAGCGAACGGAGGUGGGAACCCCCCGGGGUGCACCAUCGACCGAUCCUGAUGUCUUCGGAUGGAUUUGAGUAAGAGCGUAGCUGUUGGGACCCGAAAGAUGGUGAACUAUGCCUGAAUAGGGCGAAGCCAGAGGAAACUCUGGUGGAGGCUCGCAGCGGUUCUGACGUGCAAAUCGAUCGUCAAAUUUGGGUAUAGGGGCGAAAGACUAAUCGAACCAUCUAGUAGCUGGUUCCUGCCGAA
rnacentral:rRNA from 1 species